UACGUAGGGGGCAAGCGUUGUCCGGAUUUAUUGGGCGUAAAGAGCGUGUAGGCGGCCUGACAGGUCUGCUGUGAAAACUCGAGGCUCAACCUCGAGAUGUCGGCGGAAACCGUCUGGCUAGAGUCCGGAAGAGGAGAGUGGAAUUCCUGGUGUAGCGGUGAAAUGCGCAGAUAUCAGGAAGAACACCUAUGGCGAAGGCAGCUCUCUGGGACGGUACUGACGCUGAGGAGCGAAAGCGUGGGUAGCAAACAGG
rnacentral:rRNA from 1 species